UGUUUGGCGUGCAGCAUUUGUUUGGUGCAGCCGUCCCGUGUUUGUGACCGCCGUCGAGGCACACAAAUCUUCUCUACCCCGCGCAGCUGACUGCUUGGUCCGGGGGAGGCGGGAGUGGCUCGCUGGAGCCUCGCUGUGUUCAGCUACUGGUCCGCUCUGGCCGUGUGUGUUUAAAGCUGCGUCCUGUGAGGCUCGCAUUCGCUGGUUGUUUAUGGUCGCUGUGCAUGCCUGGCACCCCUGGUAUGUAUUAAUUUGGUUUCUU